rnacentral:misc_RNA from 1 species
GAUGAAGAACGUAGCGAAAUGCGAUAAGUAGUGUGAAUUGCAGAAUUCAGUGAAUCAUCGAAUCUUUGAACGCACAUUGCGCCCCUUGGUAUUCCAUGGGGCAUGCCUGUUCGAGCGUCAUUUGUACCUUCAAGCUUUGCUUGGUGUUGGGUGUUUGUCUCGCCUUUGCGUGUAGACUCGCCUUAAAAUAAUUGGCAGCCGGCGUAUUGAUUUCGGAGCGCAGUACAUCUCGCGCUUUGCACUCAUAACGACAGCGUCCAAAAGUACAUUUUACACUCUUGACCUCGGAUCAGGUAGGGAUACCCGCUGAACUUAAGCAUAUAAAUAAGCGGAGGA